rnacentral:rRNA from 1 species
CCUACGUGAGGCAGCAGUGAGGAAUAUUGGUCAAUGGGCGGAAGCCUGAACCAGCCAAGUAGCGUGCGGGAUGAAGGCCCUACGGGUCGUAAACCGCUUUUGCACGGGGAUAACACCCUCCACUUGUGGAGGUCUUCAGGUACCGUGCGACUAAGGGCCGGCUAAUUCCGUGCCAGCAGCCGCAGUAUUACGGAGGGCCCGAGCGUUAUCCGGGUUCAUUGGGCUUAAAGGGAGAGUAGGCGGGCGUUCAAGUCAGCUGUAAAAUCGCGCGGCUCAACCGCGCCCCGCAGUUGAAACUGGACGCCGUGAGUUCACAACAGGCAGGCGGAAUUCGUGGUGUAGCGGUGAAAUGCAUAGAUAGCACGAGGAACCCCGAUUGCGAAGGCAGCCUGCCGGGGUGCGACUGACGCUGAGGCUCGAAGGUGCGGGUAUCAAACAGGAUUAGAUACCCUGGUAGUC